AUACGAAAGGUGCAAGCGUUGUUCGGAUUUACUGGGCGUAAAGAGAGUGUAGGUUGUUUAUUAAGUCGGAUGUGAAAUCCCGGGGCUCAACCUCGGAACUGCAUUCGAUACUGGUAGACUAGAGUUCGGGAGGGGUAAGCGGAAUUCCGUGUGUAGCAGUGAAAUGCGUAGAUAUACGGAGGAACACCUGAGGCGAAGGCGGCUUACUGGACCGAUACUGACACUGAGACUCGAAAGCGUGGGUAGCAAACAGAAUUAGAAACCCGAGUAGUCC
rnacentral:rRNA from 1 species